UACGGGGGGUGCGAGCGUUGUCCGGAAUCACUGGGCGUAAAGGGCGCGUAGGUGGUCUGAUAAGGGUGUGGUGAAAGCCCGGGGCUCAACCCCGGGUCGGCCGUGCCGACUUUUGGACUAGAGUGCUGUAGGGGCAGGCGGAAUUCCGGGUGUAGCGGUGGAAUGCGUAGAGAUCCGGAGGAAGACCGGUGGCGAAGGCGGCCUGCUGGGCAGUUACUGACACUGAGGCGCGACAGCGUGGGGAGCAAACAGG
rnacentral:rRNA from 1 species